GAUGAACGCUGGCGGCGUGCCUAAUACAUGCAAGUCGAACGCAUAGCGAAAGGUGCUUGCACCUUUCAAGUGAGUGGCGAACGGGUGAGUAACACGUGGACAACCUGCCUCAAGGCUGGGGAUAACAUUUGGAAACAGAUGCUAAUACCGAAUAAAACUUAGUGUCGCAUGACACAAAGUUAAAAGGCGCUUCGGCGUCACCUAGAGAUGGAUCCGCGGUGCAUUAGUUAGUUGGUGGGGUAAAGGCCUACCAAGACAAUGAUGCAUAGCCGAGUUGAGAGACUGAUCGGCCACAUUGGGACUGAGACACGGCCCAAACUCCUAUGGGAGGCUGCAGUAGGGAAUCUUCCACAAUGGGCGAAAGCCUGAUGGAGCAACGCCGCGUGUGUGAUGAAGGCUUUCGGGUCGUAAAGCACUGUUGUAUGGGAAGAACAGCUAGAAUAGGAAAUGAUUUUAGUUUGACGGUACCAUACCAGAAAGGGACGGCUAAAUACGUG
rnacentral:rRNA from 1 species